CAACUUAGACAAUGAUUGGCAAUAAAUAGAGAAAAUGAAAAAUCAAAUGUUGGAACAUUUUUAACAUCACUUAUUUCCCCAUAUCAUUGAGAAAAUGAAACAAAAAACAAAGAAAAAGGCCCUUAGAGUUAUUAGCACUAUUUUUUAUUGAUGAUGUUGUUGCCUGUACAAUAUAAAUCCAAGAUUUUUACUGUUGCUCUACUGCUCUCUCCCACUGAAAUUGCAAAGGUAUUUCAGAGAAAAUGAACAAAUAAAAGAAGAGAGAAAGAAGGGAGGGAACAGAGAGUACAUCACAUACUGGACGCUGAGGGGGGCAAGCUCCUGGGCAGCAGGGAGCAGAAGGGGCGGCUGCUCGCUGCACCUCAUACCGGAGCC
rnacentral:lncRNA from 1 species